rnacentral:rRNA from 1 species
CCUACGGGAGGCUGCAGUGAGGAAUAUUGGUCAAUGGGCGGGAGCCUGAACCAGCCAAGUCGCGUGAGGGAAGACGGUCCUAUGGAUUGUAAACCUCUUUAGGCGGGGAGCAAUGCCGGGCACGCGUGCCCGUAGGGAGAGUACCCGCAGAAUAAGCAUCGGCUAACUCCGUGCCAGCAGCCGCGGUAAUACGGAGGAUGCGAGCGUUAUCCGGAUUUAUUGGGUUUAAAGGGUGCGUAGGCGGAUUUUUAAGUCAGCGGUAAAAUGUCCGGGCUCAACCCGGGCCGGCCGUUGAAACUGGGGAGCUUGAGUGGGCGAGAAGUAUGCGGAAUGCGUGGUGUAGCGGUGAAAUGCAUAGAUAUCACGCAGAACUCCGAUUGCGAAGGCAGCAUACCGGCGCCCGACUGACGCUGAGGCACGAAAGCGUGGGGAUCGAACAGGAUUAGAUACCCGAGUAGUC